CACGUAGGCGGCUUUCUAAGUCAGGGGUGAAAUCCUGGAGCUCAACUCCAGAACUGCCUUUGAUACUGGAGAGCUUGAGUCCGGGAGAGGUGAGUGGAACUCCGAGUGUAGAGGUGAAAUUCGUAGAUAUUCGGAAGAACACCAGUGGCGAAGGCGGCUCACUGGCCCGGUACUGACGCUGAUGUGCGAAAGCGUGGGAGCAAACA
rnacentral:rRNA from 1 species